rnacentral:rRNA from 1 species
UACGGGGGGGGUAAGCGUUGUUCGGAAUUACUGGGCGUAAAGGGCUCGUAGGCGGCCAACUAAGUCAGACGUGAAAUCCCUCAGCUUAACUGGGGAACUGCGUCUGAUACUGGAUGGCUUGGAUUCGGGAGAGGAAUGCGGAAUUCCAGGUGUAGCGGUGAAAUGCGUAGAUAUCUGGAGGAACACCGGUGGCGAAGGCGGCAUUCUGGACCGAUAUUGACGCUGAGGAGCGAAAGCCAGGGGAGCGAACGGG